AUCAAAUGACUUCUAAAGUUUUGAAAAAUUUUGGCUUCAACGGUAGUAAGCAGAAGUAAACAAAGAACAAACACGUUCUAACAUAACCUAUAGUAUUUUAAAUUCUAUCAAAAUGUCAGAAAAAAUUUAAAUGAUAUCUACUAUUUGCCCCUUAAUGUUCAAUCGUAAUAGUUAAUUAAUUGUGAGGCUAAUAAACACAUCCCACUUGUCUGUCAAAGCAACUAAGCUCCGCCUUUGCACGUGAAAUCGACAAUGAUUGACGUGAAACUAAUAGUAAAUUUCAACAGCAAGGCAUUUUAUUUUCGCAUGGUGCAGUUAAUGCAAUAUAUUUCUUUUUAAACUAUGCAAAAAAGUGCAACUUUUCUAUAGAAGAA
rnacentral:lncRNA from 1 species